rnacentral:rRNA from 1 species
AACGAACGCUGGCGGCAGGCUUAACACAUGCAAGUCGAGCGCCCCGCAAGGGGAGCGGCAGACGGGUGAGUAACGCGUGGGAAUCUACCCAUCCCUACGGAAUAGCUCCGGGAAACUGGAAUUAAUACCGUAUACGCCCUACGGGGGAAAGAUUUAUCGGGGAUGGAUGAGCCCGCGUUGGAUUAGCUAGUUGGUGGGGUAAAGGCCUACCAAGGCGACGAUCCAUAGCUGGUCUGAGAGGAUGAUCAGCCACAUUGGGACUGAGACACGGCCCAAUCUCAUACGGGAGGCAGCAGUGGGGAAUAUUGGACAAGGGGGGCAACCCUGAUCCAGCCAUGCCGCGUGAGUGAUGAAGGCCUUAGGGUUGUAAAGCUCUUUCACCGGGGAAGAUAAUGACGGUACCCGGAGAAGAAGCCCCGGCUAACUUCGUGCCAGCCGCCGCCGUAA